rnacentral:rRNA from 1 species
GAUGAACGCUAGCGGCAGGCCUAACACAUGCAAGUCGAGGGAGAAGCCCUUCGGGGCAGAAACCGGCGCACGGGUGCGUAACGCGUAUGCAACCUACCUUUCACAGGGGGAUAGCCCGAAGAAAUUUGGAUUAAUACCCCAUAAUAUUAUUGGAUGGCAUCAUUUGAUAAUUAAAAUUACGAUGGUGAAAGAUGGGCAUGCGUCCUAUUAGCUAGUUGGAGUGGUAACGGCACCCCAAGGCUACGAUAGGUAGGGGUCCUGAGAGGGAGAUCCCCCACACUGGUACUGAGACAGGGACCAGACUCCUACGGGAGGCAGCAGUGAGGAAUAUUGGUCAAUGGUCGGAAGACUGAACCAGCCAUGCCGCGUGCAGGAAGAAUGCCUUAUGGGUUGUAAACUGCUUUUAUAUGGGAAGAAUAAGGAGUACGUGUACUUUGAUGACGGUACCAUAUGAAUAAAGCU